CCGGUUAACCCACUCAGAGGGGGAGUAACACUUGGAAACAGGUGCUAAUACCGCAUAACAGUUUAUGCCGCAUGGCAUAAGAGUGAAAGGCGCUUUCGGGUGUCGCUGAUGGAUGGACCCGCGGUGCAUUAGCUAGUUGGUGAGGUAACGGCUCACCAAGGCCACGAUGCAUAGCCGACCUGAGAGGGUGAUCGGCCACACUGGGACUGAGACACGGCCCAG
rnacentral:rRNA from 1 species